AUUCCAAUUCCAAUUCUACGGCCAGACUCCCAUUCGGAUCAACGCGCGGACUUUAAAUGGAUAAAAACUCCAAAACGGGUCAACUAUAAAGCUGGAUUAAAAGAAAACAAAGCUGGCUUCUUUCUCUCUCUUCAUGAGCGGAUCGCCAUACCUACCCUAAUCUGCUCUAGCGUUCUUUGCCGACGCUGCCUCCUCCUUUUCCUAACACCUCUCCCGGAACCCCUCCAGGCCUUUCCUACUCCUUCUCUCCUCUGCAGCAUCGAGUGGGUGAAAUUUACAGAUUGAGUUAUAUUUUGGUCUCCUUUCUUUCGUUUCCUACCUAUCUUGAAUUGUGCCUCCCACCUUUACCUUUGCCAUUACUUCCAUUGCUGUCACCAUCGCGAUCGCAUCCUCUCAUCCUCACUCUCCUUCCACUCCUUCAAUUCUCAAUUCUCGACAAAUUCAGGAUUUAUGAUGGUCUUUCAGUUUGCGACUUAAAGGUGCAAAACAUGUUGUAUAUGGCUUGAUGUUUGUUUGGUGUCGAUAGACAACUAGACCCUUAAAUAUGGCAGCAAGUUGUGAGAAUAUAUGAUCUUGAGCAUUCUUUGCAAAAGGUCGAAGAAGCUCUCUUGUAGGGACUGGAGCAACUUCACUUGUACAACCAUGAACCAUGUGAUUAAUAUCAGAUUAUUUCACUGGAUUUACAUAUGGGUUUAUGCAUGCAUAAUAUCUGUUUAUGCAUGUGGAUUUGUGUACGUUUGGCUGCACACCUUUCUACUGAUAAUUUUCUCUUUAAAAAUCAAUGAAUUGCACAAGAUGAGAUAUUUAUGGUUUGUUGGUAACAAGUGAUGCAGGUUUUUGUUCAAAACUGUUCUUGAAGUUUUGGGUCAAACGUAUCUGCAUCCGUAGUAGUUUGCAGGUGGCUGCUGAGCGUGUCCUUGUUCUGAAUACUAUGAGAUCCAAGCUGCCUGUCGCAGUUACUACUACGGAUGAUGCCAAAGAUUCUGUAAAGGAGGAAAUUCGUUUGAGGUGAAAACUUUCUGAAAAUUUUUGACCAUGGGCUUAUGUUUUGCUUAUCUCUGAAGAUUGCUGUUAGAGAAGAGAGUCCAGGACAAAGUGGCAGCGUGUCACCUUUCAAUACUAGUGGAAUGAAACAUCCCAAAACUGGGUUUAUACAGUUGAAGCAUUUGAUCAAGAGUUUUUGUUACAUAUGAAGGAUUUAUUUGUAACUGAUUGUUUUCUUAUCUUUUUCUUUCAUGAAAUAUUGCUUCUUGAUUUUGUAGUUAUUGUCACAUGAGUGAAAAAUUGCUUCAAACUUUUCCUCUCUCAUAGUUUUAUCAUGCCAUUGGUACUUAAUGGAGGAGUUUGAGUUUUAGUUGUGCA